rnacentral:rRNA from 1 species
UUAUUGGGCGUAAGCGCGCGCAGGCGGUUUCUUAAGUCUGAUGUGAAAGCCCCCGGCUCAACCGGGGAAGGGCAUUGGAAACUGGGGAACUUGAGUGCAGAAGAGAAAAGCGGAAUUCCACGUGUAGCGGUGAAAUGCGUAGAGAUGUGAAGGAACACCAGUGGCGAAGGCGGCUUUUUGGUCUGUAACUGACACUGAGGCGCGAAAGCGUGGGGAGCAAACAGGAUUAGAUACCCUGGUAGUCCACGCCGUAAACGAUGUGUGCUAGGCGUUGGAGUCCUUGCGCUCUUUAUGGCUGCACUAACGCAUUUAGUUGACCGCCCGGG